GAUGAAGAACGCAGCGAAAUGCGAUAAGUAGUGUGAAUUGCAGAAUUCAGUGAAUCAUCGAAUCUUUGAACGCACAUUGCGCCCUUUGGUAUUCCUUAGGGCAUGCCUGUUCGAGCGUCAUUUAAACCUUCAAGCUCAGCUUGGUGUUGGGUGACUGUCCGCUUCACCGCGGACUCGCCUCAAAAUUAUUGGCGGCCGGUACAUUGGCUCUCGAGCGCAGCAGGAACGCGUAACUCGAGGUCCUCGUGCUGGCUCCCAGAAGCUAUCUUCACAAUUUUGACCUCGGAUCAGGUAGGGAUACCCGCUGAACUUAAGCAUAUCAAUAAGCGGAGGA
rnacentral:misc_RNA from 1 species